GGAAGCAAGGAGACAACGGGAGCCCAGCCAGCCAGUGGGGAUUGUGAGUUCCCUUCCUCCCUCUCCUCUCUCCCGGGGCUUGGAAGGACUUCAGGCCUCCUACAGGGCUGACCUUGGCUGGGUUCUCCCUCCCCACCGGUGCCCAUCUUAAUCUCUUUAGUCCCCGUGCCGGCUGAUGAGGCUCUGGCACCCACCUGGCAGGAGCAGCUGUCUGGAUGUCCCAACGGCGUGGAGAUGCGGCCGGACAGAGGCACAGAGGCUAAUCUUCGGAGACACUUCAGUGAUGCUCCUUCUGACUCCCAGGAAGUUCUUAGGUGUGACCCACGCCCAUCUCACAGGAGUCUAUAACCCUGUUAGUUGUGUAACCUAAAACUAAAAAUUACUUAAAAAGAAGAAAAAUGAAGGAAAAAAAAGAAACAUCAAAUUCCAUCUUAGUCAAUAGAAGUUUUACAUGCAUCUCAAGGAAGGUGACAGCUUCCUCUACUCUGGCCCUCCUUUCCUCUCCUUGGCUCUGUCCUUAGCUGGAAUGGAAACAGCUGCCAGGUGAGUGUGUGGCAAAUGGGUCCCUGCAGACAGACUUCUGCUGGGUGCCCUGAGGCAGGAUUCCAGGAGUGAGGAUGGUGGAUGUUCCAGCCCAGGUGGGGUAGAGAUUUCCCAUCCACUUGGUAGGGAUGGUUUUGGCUAAGUUGGGUAUUUGGAAUGUGUGCAAGUUGAGGCAGCAUGAUGCUUCCUAGGAAUGUGGGAGUACCGAGGACGGACUCCCAGCAUACUAUGGGAGGUUGUGAGGGAUGCCCUGAAUGUCCAUUCAGCUCUGAAAAAAAAAA